GCGUGGAUUAGGCAUGCAAGUCGAGCGGGAUUAGCUUUUUUCAAUUCUUCGGAAAAGAAAGUUGCUAUGAGAGCGGCGGACGGGUGAGUAAUAUAUGGGCAAUUUGCCUCUUUGUUCGGAAUAGCCAUCGGAAACGGUGAGUAAUGCCGGAUGUGAUCGUCUACCGCAUGGUAGAUUGUUUAAAGGCGGGGAAUCUUCGGAUCCUGUCGCAAAGAGAUAAGCCCGUAUCCUAUCAGCUAGUUGGUGAGGUAACGGCUCACCAAGGCUUACGGGUAGCUGGUCUGAGAGGAUGAUCAGCCACACUGGAACUGAGACACGGUCCAGACUCCUACGGGAGGCUGCAGUCGAGAAUCAUUGUCAAUGCACGAAAGUGUGAACAUGCGACGCCGCGUGGAGGAAGACGGCCUUUGGGUUGUAAACUCCUGUCAGCAGGGAGUAAGGGUAGCAUUACUAAUAGUGGUGUUAUUUGAUAGUACCUGCAGAGGAAGUCACGGCUAACUCUGUGCCAGCAGCCGCGGUAAUACAGAGGUGGCGAACGUUGUUCGGAUUUACUGGGCGUAAAGGGUCCGCAGGCGGUCCGGUGUGUCGGAUGUGAAAGCCCACAGCUUAACUGUGGAAUUGCAUUCGAAACUACCGGACUAGAGUACUGGAGGGGAGAAGGGAACACUUGGUGUAUCGGUGAAAUGCGUAGAUAUCA
rnacentral:rRNA from 1 species